UAUACUUCAUUUUUUGGAUUU
rnacentral:piRNA from 1 species